rnacentral:misc_RNA from 1 species
AAAAUGACUUUCUCUUUUGAAAAAUACAAGUCAUUGUCCUUAAAAAUAACUUUGUUUUCCCUUUGACUAGGAAAAUAUUUACCAUUGAUCAAUUUUCUCGAGUGCCCUAAACAUCAAAAAAUGCGGAAGAUAUUUUUCAAAAAAAUACAAAAAAUAUUUUUCAAUAAAAUAUUUUCUGUGAAACGAACGAAGCCUCAGAUAUGAAAUACCAUGCACAGCUCUCAUCAGCGAACCUAAUUAGUGACAGCCAAAUCUUUUUCUUCUCAUACCUAUGAUUGAAAAAUUCCAGAACUUUUAAGGAUAAUCAAGGAAGAGAAAGAAAAUAACUUUUACCUAGUAAGGUUCUCUUUGUCCACCAAGGAAAGAAAUUGCUCACUUAAAAAUCAAUCCCCUUUUGCCUACUUCAAGCUAUUUAAAUUUUACAUAUUAAUCUGUUUUAUGUAUAUCAUGAUAUUUGAUAGAGAAAUCAAUGAUCCAACUCUAAUACUAAUACCAGAUUGGUUUUCAGAUGAAAAGUAGACAGAACAACUUACUCACAUCCAAGCACAUAGAACCAGAAGUAAAUUACAUGAACUUUAGAACAAAUAAUCUAAAUAACCUGAAAGGAGUAAUCCCAAAGAAGCUAGGAACACGCUUACCGGAGGAGUUGCACCAUAGGCACUAGCAUAACCAGAAGCAAGACCCAUCCCCACUUGAUUAGCAUCAUGCUGCUCUUUCUUCUUUUUUCCUGUCACAUUAGUGAAAAAAAAACUCUCACAGGAGUAAUUUAGACACAAGGAAACCUAAUCUAUUAUAUUUAAAAGAAAUUGAAAAACCUACAAAAUACUGCACAAUAUGAACUAAUAUCUAGCAUAGAGCUAUGAUUUCUCACCCGCAUGUUUAAACAAGCAACUGUAAUAUUGAUGCUUCUGUAGUAUGCUGCUAGCAAAUGAAAUGUAACAGAACUUACAGUUCACAAAUGGUACACUCUAUCCGUACACAAAGAUCAUUAACUUACCUUUCUCUUCAUGCUUCUUUCGUUUUUCCCUUGGAACAAAAGUGCCAUCAGCUUUCGCAAUGAUGUCCGAUUUUGCUUUUGCAUAUUGUAUUCUCAUGGGCUUAUCAUAAAAGGGGAAAGACUGCAUUUGCCUCAUAGCAUUAGUAGCUGACUUAACAUCCUCGAAAACGACCCAAGCUUGCCCUUUGUGUUUCAGCGUCUUGAACGCUAAUAUCUCCAAAAUCUUACCGAAUUGAGAGAACACCGCAUGCAGGGAUUUCUUCAACUCGUCGAUUUUGAUUUUCUCGUUGAGAUUGUUGAUGUAAAUGGUGACGUUGGAAGGGAUUUCGGUGCCAGUACUCACAUUAUUCACAUCGGCCACAUUCUUUUGCUCUAGCAACGCCAUAGCUCAAGAAAUGGUAUGCAGCGAGAGAGCGUGAAGGUCGGGUUUUGGGUGGACAGUGGGAUUUUGGGUCCAAAAUAACGGCCGGGUAAGAGCCCUAAUUGCGCCACCGAGCCAGCCGCCAGGGAGCUAAG